UGCUUUUUNGUCAAGCGGUUAAGACACCGCCCUUUCACGGCGGUAACACGGGUUCGAAUCCCGUACGGGUCA
rnacentral:tRNA from 1 species